rnacentral:rRNA from 1 species
UCAGGCGUAACACAUGCAAGUCGAACGGGAUCUUUGGAUCUAGUGGCGGACGGGUGAGUAACGCGUGGGAACGUGCCCUUUGCUUCGGAAUAGCCCCGGGAAACUGGGAGUAAUACCGGAUGAGCCCUACGGGGGAAAGAUUUAUCGGCGAAGGAUUAGCCCGCGUUGGAUUAGGUAGUUGGUGGGGUAAUGGCCUACCAAGCCGACGAUCCAUAGCUGGUUUGAGAGGAUGAUCAGCCGCACUGGGACUGAGACACGGCCCAGACUCUUACGGGAGGCAGCAGUGGGGAAUCUUAGAGGAUGGGGGAAACCCUGAUCUAGCCAUGCCGCGUAUAAAAGGAAGGCCUUAGGGUUGUAAAGCUCUUCAGCUGGAAGAUAAUGA